UAGGGAAUCUUCGGCAAUGGGGGCAACCCUGACCGAGCAACGCCGCGUGAGUGAAGAAGGUUUUCGGAUCGUAAAGCUCUGUUGUAAGAGAAGAACGUGUAUGAGAGUGGAAAGUUCACACAGUGACGGUAACUUACCAGAAAGGGACGGCUAACUACGUGCCAGCAGCCGCGGUAAUACGUAGGUCCCGAGCGUUGUCCGGAUUUAUUUGGCGUAAAGCGAGCGCAGGCGGUUUAAUAAGUCUGAAGUUAAAGGCAGUGGCUUAACCAUUGUUCGCUUUGGAAACUGUUAAACUUGAGUGCAGAAGGGGAGAGUGGAAUUCCAUGUGUAGCGGUGAAAUGCGUAGAUAUAUGGAGGAACACCGGUGGCGAAAGCGGCUCUCUGGUCUGUAACUGACGCUGAGGCUCGAAAGCGUGGGGAGCAAACAGG
rnacentral:rRNA from 1 species